GACGAACGCUGGCGGCGUGCUUAACACAUGCAAGUCGAACGGAAAGGCCCUGCUUGCAGGGUACUCGAGUGGCGAACGGGUGAGUAACACGUGGGUGAUCUGCCCUGCACUUCGGGAUAAGCCUGGGAAACUGGGUCUAAUACCGGAUAGGAGCCAUUUUUAGUGUGAUGGUUGGAAAGUUUUUUCGGUGUAGGAUGAGCUCGCGGCCUAUCAGCUUGUUGGUGGGGUAAUGGCCUACCAAGGCGGCGUCGGGUAGCCGGCCUGAGAGGGUGGACGGCCACAUUGGGACUGAGAUAAGGCCCAGACUCCUACGGGAGGCAGCAGGGGGGAAGAUUGCACAAUGGGCGCAAGCCUGAUGCAGCGACGCCGCGUGGGGGAUGACGGGCUUCGGGUUGUAAACUCCUUUCGCUAGGGACGAAGCUUUUUGUGACGGUACCUAGAUAAGAAGCACCGGCUAACUACGUG
rnacentral:rRNA from 1 species